GUUAUUGUGGAGUGUAAAGGAACUGGAAGGCAGGAGAGGGCUCUGCCACGCAGCGGGGAGGAUGAGUCAGAGGUGGCUUUCACAGUCGUCACAAAGUGCGCUGUGUUCUUGGGUGAAACUGAAGAUUGUGGCAGGGCCAGAGAGGAUCAGACACAUAAUCACUACAUGGGCUGGUCACGCCGAGGGGCCACAGGAGACCAUUGGAAGAGGAACCAUAGUAUGAAUGUCAGCUCCAACCUUCAUUAAAAUGGAAACUCUCUUGUUUUUUGAAGAAAAUGACAAGACUCGGUAAUUCUGAUCUCCCUGACCCCUUAGAGAAGGAGGUGCCAGGUCGGACUGAGACAACUCCAUCCACUCCACUUUCUGCCACCCUUUUUCUCUUCCAACUUUAGAUUCUGCAUGAUGGAGACAAAGAGCUGCAUUUGAUACUUAGUAACUAGAUUUAUCUAAUCUUGAUGCUGUGUUCUUGCUACUGAUUGGAGGUUGCACUGGGUUACUUCUUGCAGCUAAAAAAUAAACAACAAAGUUACAAAAAACAAGGA